CUGAGCCACGCAUUUUGGCGACAGCUUUAUAAAACUCGUUUGAUUGAUUAUAUGUUAUUAUAUGAUUAUAUUGAUUACUCGUCUGAUGUAUUAUAGCUAAAUUUAUAGCGUAUGGUGGAAUGACUAGCCAGAGGUUCGGUGUGCUCAUUUUCAACCAACUUGCUUCCUUGUACUCUAUUAUAUUGCAGGUGGUGUUGGUAGUUCUAUCAUAUAAUUCAUUUAACAUACAGUUUGGCUGGGUAUCCAUAUUAAUGAUUCCCAUUGGUGAACAUGCCAACUCUCCUUUGUUUAAUUCUAUACACCUUCCUUUAUCUUCAUAUGUCACCUCAAAAUAGUGUAAGUUAUUGUAAUCUCUUGCAAUCAGGCUCGAAGGACCAAUGGACAAUUCGAUGUAAAUAUCAGGAUCGAAUUGUUUUGUAAUGCCCCUUUGUCCGCUUCUUCUCGAUCGACGAUGGUAAAUAAAUGUUUGAGUGUGGAGUAAAAAUAUGGUUUUAUUGACAGCUACUGAGUAUUACACUAUAGAUGUUGUUCAGGUAACUUUCUAUGAUAGACUGCGGCCCAAAAUAGUCCCUUUGUCUAAUUUAUAAUCUCGUCAAAAUAUACAAUUCAUCAAUAAGUUGCAUGACAACAGCAACGGACUUUGUAAUCUUUCGAAAGCUUACAACAUACAGUUUAUUGAGGAAACUAUUGCAACAUGUACUAGGAAGAACAAUUGGAAAUACCACGAUUUGGCAAUUUAUUUAGGUUGCAAAAGGUUCACCGUUAUAAGAUGUUUGAAAACUACUCAGUACCUUUCUGCGCAUGGCACGUACAAAUUUGAGGCAUACACAUUUCAGUACUGUUUAUUUUGCCGCAUAGUAUAACAAACGAUAUUAAGUGACAGUUGGUUACUUUUGGAAGGUCAACGGUAUCUGGAAGGACAGUAACGAGUUCUAAUGACCUUCACAAAAUCUGUCAAAUGUUCCCAUGUACAUAUACCAGAAUUUUUAGAAAAUCUGGUGUCCUAACAGUAUUUUAUUGACCGAAACACGACAGAGGAGGGUAAGAAGAACGUGAUUCAUAGUGUACACUGUUAAAGGGAGCAAAAUAAUACUUUUGUAAACAUCUUCCAUGUUUUAAAUGUCUUGACUACAUUCUCUAGCACUAAUAUAGGCGCACUAUAUAAGUAUACUUUAUGCUGAUAAAUUUCCCCAAAUCUGCGGAACAAUCUGCAUAUUUUGAUGAUUUCGUCCAAUCGGGACGUCGUAUUCACGUCACUUAAUCUAAAAUUUCCUUAAGACCGGGGAAAUAAUUUUGGGAUUUUUUACCGCUACCCCGAUAAUUGAUCAUUCAACGAAAAUAUACGCUAUAGGUUUCUUAGAAGGAGAAAAAUGUUUGCUAACCAUGUAACCAAGUGUGAUAUUUUUCCUUUUAUGUUCUUUACUUCACUCUUACUGGAAGUCCUGUAAAAGUUGGAAACACUUCAUGUUCAGAUGCUAUACCAGCAAGUUAUAGUAAAAUUUUUAGUUGUCAUUUAACGUCAAGGUGUGUUUCAAUGAAAACUCUUAAUUAGCGGAUCUCUUUCGGUGUGUCUGCCUAUUUUACCUAACUCGGAAACCGCUCAUAAAAUUGGAUGAUAAGCCGAAAUUCAUCGGCUAUUUGGGGGGUUUCAUUUGACACAUAACUGGACGUUGAGUAAAGGCUAUGACCUGAAUUUGAUUUUAUCCUCUACAAUGUCAGUGGAAUUCAAAAUUGAUUAAAAACGGGGGGAAAUGUUACUUUCUUGUCUAAUAUCUCUUUCUACCGGAAUUUCGUUGUAUUAUUGUUUGUAUGUGUGAAUAUUUGUAACAAAAAGUAUUGGUUUUGUGCCAAUUUACCUUUUAUUUAAUUUUCAACAUAAAACUGUAAAUUGAAUAUCGUUUUGAUGGAUAAUAAUUAGUUUAUGGUCACUCAGUGGCCUAUACAGGGUGUUAGUAUAUAAGUAUGAACAACUUUAAGGGGUAAUUUUACA
rnacentral:lncRNA from 1 species